AUUGAACGCUGGCGGCAUGCCUUACACAUGCAAGUCGAACGGUAACAGGUCUUCGGAUGCUGACGAGUGGCGAACGGGUGAGUAAUACAUCGGAACGUGCCCGAGAGUGGGGGAUAACGAGGCGAAAGCUUUGCUAAUACCGCAUACGAUCUCAGGAUGAAAGCAGGGGACCGCAAGGCCUUGCGCUCACGGAGCGGCCGAUGGCAGAUUAGGUAGUUGGUGGGAUAAAAGCUUACCAAGCCGACGAUCUGUAGCUGGUCUGAGAGGACGACCAGCUACACUGGGACUGAGACGCGGCCCAGACUCCUACGGGAGGCAGCAGUGGGGAAUUUUGGACAAUGGGCGCAAGCCUGAUCCAGCCAUGCCGCGUGCAGGAUGAAGGCCUUCGGGUUGUAAACUGCUUUUGUACGGAACGAAAAGACUCCUUCUAAUAAAGGGGGUCCAUGACGGUACCGUAAGAAUAAGCACCGGCUAACUACGUGCCAGCAGCCGCGGUAACAC
rnacentral:rRNA from 1 species